AAUAUGGGCUGAAGCUCAAUUCACAUGUCCAUCAACCUAAUAAAAAACCCUAGAGAAGGAAGACUUUGUGAUGCCGUCAAUGGCGCUUCCGGCGUCCACUAUAUUGUAUUCGACUCCGAAAUUUCAGAUUAAACUAUGUAAAUAUCAACUUUCUCAACUCCAAUGGGGUUCACUGUGCGGUGCCCAUCACCCAAUCUAUCCCAAAUUCCGCAGAAAAGUAAUUAUGGCACAAAUGGGUGAACCGAAUAAGAUGGGCCUGCAAUUGGGUAUUGUUAAGGAGAGGUUAUGGGAAACGGUUCCUGAGUCGGUGAAGGAUUUUCCAUGGAAGAAGGCUGAGGCUGUAGUUUUACAGAGAAUGGUUUUUCUUGGACACAAGGCAUUGAAGUGGUCACUCGUUGCAUUAUUCAUUUUUAGCUUUUUACCAGAUGCUGUAUUCUCCAUUUCCCGAAACCAAGAGUUAGUGAUACCCUUUGGUCUGGCCGUUGGCUGUUUGAUGUCUGACUUCUUGAGGGACACGUUACAGGAAGUGUUUGGCAGAUCAGAGGGAGUAGGUUUGCACCAGCAUCUUUUGAGCAUCGGUUGCUUCUUUGGUCUUGUCAAGUUUAUGUCCGCAUGUUUUUCACUACAAACGAGGGUAUUUCUUUUGCAUGUUGCAAACGGUGGUUUAAUGCAAGUUUUGUGGCAGUGGAGAAAUUUAGUGGAAAAAAUUGAUAGUGGCAAUGGACUGAAUUCCAUCUCAAAUCCAUUGGCCAGAAAUGCAGAAUAUUAAAUUCAGUUUUUCUGUUGUACAUCCACAUGUUUUAUCAAACUUCUGUGAUUCGUUCGGUUCAAGUGCAGCUUUACACAAGUCCUGACUUAACCGGAACUGGGAAUAGGCAGAUCGCAGCUGUUUGUAAAUCUCUUCCAUCCUCCCAUCCUGCUGAUCUCGUCGAUCCAUCUCCAUAAAAUCCUGUGAACGACUAAGUCAUCAAACUUGGCACACACAAAAAGAGAGAGAGCGAGAGUGAGAGAGAGAGAUAAGCAUUUCUAAUGGGUACCUGAGCGGCAAGCUUAUCAAAAGUUGGAGAAAAACGCUGGCUACAAUACGCAUUAAAUAGAAGAGUUCCAAUAAUCAGUGGAAUAAUGAAACCAGAAGCAACUGAUGACCGUUUAAUCCCAAAGACUCCGAGAGCUAUAAUUUGGGUCAACACCAGUGCGAAGAUUGUUGAUUUGUGAGCGAUAGGCCAAUACUGCCCCCCACUUUCAUAAUUUGUUAUGUAGACAUUCAUAAUCUGAAAGAUACGUUUUAAG